rnacentral:rRNA from 1 species
UACGAAGGGUGCAAGCGUUACUCGGAAUUACUGGGCGUAAAGCGUGCGUAGGCGGUUUGUUAAGUCCGUUGUGAAAGCCCUGGGCUCAACCUGGGAAUUGCAGUGGAUACUGGCGAGCUAGAGUGCGGUAGAGGAUGGUGGAAUUCCCGGUGUAGCGGUGAAAUGCGUAGAGAUCGGGAGGAACACCCGUGGCGAAGGCGGCCAUCUUGACCAGCACUGACGCUGAGGCACGAAAGCGUGGGGAGCGAACAGG